rnacentral:lncRNA from 1 species
ACGUGUUAGUCAACAGUAUUGUGCAUUUGCUUGGCGACUUUGCACUGUAGUUACAUAUCACUUGCUAAAUAAAAAAUGUUAUUCACUUUUCUGUGUUUUGUUGAAUAAUUCUCAUGCUUUCUUUUGUGAGGGCUACAAAUCAUAGUGCUUAAAAUACCGAUGUGUGCGUCAUACUUGAAUUAAAAAAGUUACAUGAGAAAGUACCCCUAUUCCAUUACUUUGAGAAGUACAGGUACACAUUUCUAAAUAGUACAGUGCAUGACCGGUGCUCGCCCUGCAUAAAUGGAGCCUUCAGCUCACCAUGCUACCUCCUGCCGGUGGGGCUCCGUCGCUGCAUCGCCCCUCGCCGUUCACUUCCACCAACCUAGGCCGUUCAACAAGACAUCGCCAAGCCGUUCAACGCCGCAGCUCAAGAGACUGCAUCCUUUCCCUCCCUCCACUGCGCUGAACCUAAAGGUAUUGUUCAGCUUUAAUUUUGUUCUUAGCUUCAUGAGACAGAGCUUUUUCUCAAUAGUUGUAUGAAUUUUUGCAUGUCCAUGGAAGUAGAAGAAAGCAAACAUCAGUCCAGCUGGUAGACGUGGAAGUGAUUUUUGAAUCUAAAAUCAUAUGUGCUUUUCUGUAACCUAUAUAAUUUAUGUUUGUUCAGACUUCUUGUUUCUCUAAAGCGGCCAAAUCCCGGUGCACCUGGUAGUUCAAACUUACACCAGAUGGCCGGUGACCAACUUCCCUACCUCUACAAGCUCCUCGAGGAUGACUUGGUGGUAGCUGGGAUCCCCUAAAGCGGCCAAAUCCUGGUGCACCCAGCUGCCGCUCGUGAUCGCCUCUCCUUUAGCUCCACUUCGUGGCACUGUCAGUCCACAGGAGUAGGGGCAGGUGCCCAUCAACAAAAAGGAACAAACGGUAUAUGCUUGGAAACUUAAAAUUCUAUACACAUUUGGGAAACAGAUGUUAUAGCUUCUUUCAAAGUUCAAAACUGAUGGUACAG